CAGUCGCCGCGGGAAUACAGAGGGUGCGAGCGUUAAUCGGAUUUACUGGGCGUAAAGCGUGCGUAGGCGGCUUUUUAAGUCGGAUGUGAAAUCCUUGAGCUUAACUUAGGAAUUGCAUUCGAUACUGGGAAGCUAGAGUAUGGGAGAGGAUGGUAGAAUUCCAGGUGUAGCGGUGAAAUGCGUAGAGAUCUGGAGGAAUACCGAUGGCGAAGGCAGCCAUCUGGCCUAAUACUGACGCUGAGGUACGAAAGCAUGGGGAGCAAACAGGAUUAGAUACCCCAGUAGUCCCUGUCUCUUAUAC
rnacentral:rRNA from 1 species